GUCAAAUGGAAAGGGCGCAGGGCGGAUGCCUUGGCUCCGGGAGGCGACGAAGGACGCGGCCAGCGGCGAAAUGCCCCGGGGAGGAGCAGGCUUCCUGUGAUCCGGGGGUGUCCGAAUGGGGCAACCCGGCCGCCUGCGAGGGCGGUCACUCUUUCGAGAGAGCCAACCCGGGGAACUGAAACAUCUCAGUACCCGGAGGAAAGGAAAUCAACCGAGACUCCGCGAGUAGCGGCGAGCGAAAGCGGAAGAGCCCAAACCGUCAGGUGCGCCUGGCGGGGUUGUGGGACGGCCACACGGCAGCUGGAGGUUCAGCGGAAGCGUCUGGGAAGGCGCGGCGAAGAGGGUAAGACCCCCGUACGCGAAGGACUGAAGGCGCCGGCCGGAUCCCGAGUAGGGCGGGGCACGUGAAACCCCGUUCGAAGCAGGGGGGACCACCCUCCAAGGCUAAGUACUACCCGGAGACCGAUAGUGAACCAGUACCGUGAGGGAAAGGUGAAAAGCACCCCGCCGAGGGGAGUGAAACAGAUCCUGAAACCCUGCGUCCACAAGCGGCGGAAGCGGGAAGACCCGCGACCGCGUGCCUUUUGCAUAAUGAGCCAACGAGUCAUCGGUCGGCGGCGAGGCCGAGGCCACUGCCGCAGCCGCAGCGAAAGCGAGUCCGAAACGGGCAAUCGAGUCGCCGGCCAUGGACCCGAAACCGGGCGAUCUAUCCCCGUCCAGGCUGAAGCCAGGGUAAGACCUGGUGGAGGGCCGGACCGGUGGGCCUUAAAAAGUCCUCGGAUGAGGUGGGGAUAGGGGUGAAAGGCCAAUCAAGCCCGGAGAUAGCUGGUUCUCCCCGAAACAUAUUGAGGUAUGUCCCCGUGUUGGGGCCGCCGGAGGUAGAGCACCGGAUGGGCUAGGGGUCCCACCAGACUGCCAAACCCAACCGAACUCCGAAUGCCGGCGAGCCUGCAGCGGGAGCCAGGCGGCGGGAGCUAACUUCCGCGCGUCGAGAGGGAAACAACCCAGACCAUCGGCCAAGGCCCCCAAGCCGCAGCUCAGUGGGAAAGGAGGUGGGGGCGCACGGACAGCCAGGAGGUUGGCUUAGAGGCAGCCAUCCUUUAAAGAAAGCGUAACAGCUCACUGGCCGAGUGUUCCCGCGCCGAAAAUACAACGGGGCUCAAGCUGCGCGCCGAAGCCGUGGACCCCUUCGGGGGUGGUAGGGGAGCUUCCCCCGUGCAGGGAAGCCAUCUCGUGAGGGAUGGUGGAGCGCGGGGGAGUGAGGAUGUUGGCACGAGUAGCGAUAAUGGGGGUGGGACCCCCCCACGCCGAAAGCCCAAGGGUUCCCGGGCCAUGCCAGUCAGCCCGGGGUCAGUCGGUUCCUAAGGCGAGGCCGAAAGGCGCAGCCGACGGGAAACCGGUUCACAUUCCGGUACCUGGGUGUGCGCGUGAUGGAGGGACGCAGGAGGGUAGGCGAGCCGGGUGAUGGAUAUCCCGGUCCAAGGUUGUAGGCGGGCCGCCCAGGCAAAUCCGGGGGGCCUCAACGUCGAGAGCCGAUGGCGAGAGGCUAGCCUCAUAAAGUCGCCGAUCCCACGCUGCCGAGAAAAGCUUCUAAGCAUAGCACACGCAGACCGUACCCAAACCGACACAGGUGGGCGGGUGGAGAACACCAAGGCGCACGGGUGAGAGCGCGUUAAGGAACUCUGCAAGAUGGCUCCGUAACUUCGGGAGAAGGAGUGCCCGCGUCAGGUGAAGGGGCUUGCCCCCGGAGCCGAGGCGGGCCGCAGUGACCAGGCCCAGCCGACUGUUUAGCAAAAACACAGCCCUCCGCAAACCCGCAAGGGGACGUAUGGGGGGUGACGCCUGCCCGGUGCCGGAAGGUCAAGGGGAGAGGUCAGCGCAAGCGAAGCCUUGAACUGAAGCCCCGGUGAACGGCGGCCGUAACUAUAACGGUCCUAAGGUAGCGAAAUUCCUUGUCGGGUAAGUUCCGACCUGCACGAAUGGCGUAACGAUCUGG
rnacentral:rRNA from 1 species